rnacentral:rRNA from 1 species
GACGUAGGGCGCGAGCGUUGUCCGGAUUUAUUGGGCGUAAAGAGCUCGUAGGCGGCUUGUCGCGUCGACUGUGAAAACCCGCGGCUCAACCGCGGGCCUGCAGCCGAUACGGGCAGGCUAGAGUUCGGUAGGGGAGACUGGAAUUCCUGGUGUAGCGGUGGAAUGCGCAGAUAUCAGGGGGAACACCGGGUGGCGAAGGCGG